rnacentral:rRNA from 1 species
GGGGAACUGAAACAUCUAAGUACCCCGAGGAAAAGAAAUCAACCGAGAUUCCCCCAGUAGCGGCGAGCGAACGGGGAGGAGCCCAGAACCUGAAUCGGCUUGUGUGUUAGUGGAAGCGUCUGGAAAGUCGCGCAGCAAAGGGUGAUAGCCCCGUACACUAAAAUGCACAGGUCGUGAGUUCGAUGAGUAGGGCGGGACACGUGACAUCCUGUCUGAAUAUGGGGGGACCAUCCUCCAAGGCUAAAUACUCCUGACUGACCGAUAGUGAACCAGUACCGUGAGGGAAAGGCGAAAAGAACCCCGGCGAGGGGAGUGAAAUAGAACCUGAAACCGUGUACGUACAAGCAGUGGGAGCACCUUCGUGGUGUGACUGCGUACCUUUUGUAUAAUGGGUCAGCGACUUAUAUUUUGUAGCAAGGUUAACCGUAUAGGGGAGCCGUAGGGAAACCGAGUCUUAACUGGGCGAUUAGUUGCAAGGUAUAGACCCGAAACCCGGUGAUCUAGCCAUGGGCAGGUUGAAGGUUGGGUAACACUAACUGGAGGACCGAACCGACUAAUGUUGAAAAAUUAGCGGAUGACUUGUGGCUGGGGGUGAAAGGCCAAUC